GGUUCCGUAGUGUAGUGGUUAAAACGUUCGCUUCACACGCGAAAGGUUUCCGGGUUUGAACCCGGACGGAACCA